rnacentral:rRNA from 1 species
CGGACGACGCUGGCGGCGUGCCUAACACAUGCAAGUCGAGCGGAGAUGAUGUGAGGAAGUUUUCGGAUGGAAUCACAUUAUUUAGCGGCGGACGGGUGAGUAACGCGUGAGCGACCAACCUUGCACAGGGGGAUAACGGACCGAAAGGUUCACUAAUACCGCAUGAGACCACGGUGUUGCAUGACACAGAGGUCAAAGGAGGAAUCCGGUGCAAGACGGGCUCGCGCCCGAUUAGGUAGUUGGAGGGGUAACGGCCCACCAAGCCUAUGAUCGGUAGCCGACCUGAGAGGGUGAUCGGCCACAUUGGAACUGAGAUACGGUCCAAACUCCUACGGGAGGCAGCAGUGGGGAAUAUUGGGCAAUGGGGGAAACCCUGACCCAGCAACGCCGCGUGAAGGAAGAAGGUUUUCGGAUUGUAAACUUCUGUCCUUGGUGAAGAGAAGAAGACGGUAGCCAAGGAGGAAGCCCCGGCUAACUACGUG